AUGGAAAGCUGAUGGUGAAAAGGGAACGAGGGCAUCGUGUCUCUUAAGCUACUUCCUGCUGUCUAGGGGCAUCAUCAAUGGGGGAUAGCUGGCUUUCACGAUCAGGAUCUACUUGAGCUUACAACUGGAGACUGUCAACUCAUGCCUGCUGUGCCUAGGACAAAGACCCACUAUGCUGAGUUCUGCCUUCAAGGAUUCUAGAGGAAGGUUUGUCUGGUGGCUGACACACCCACUGGCUGAAGACUUGUUGAAUGAAAAGAAACUGACCGCCUGAGGACAUCCGCUGUUGACUUCCACCCAAAUGGGCACGCCCAGGCAGCUGGGCUUUCCCCCUUUGACUCUGUACAGAUUCUUCCUGACUCCUCCCACAUUGCUUAUGUUAUGCAAAUGUCAUUGUAACUUAGAGAUCCAGUUUUGCUUUCUUGUAUACAGAUAAACCCAAAAGUAAAGUGGCAAGGCUUGAUUGGAACGCCU